rnacentral:rRNA from 1 species
GGGGCCCGGCACAAGCGGUGGAGCAUGUGGGUUUAAUUCGAUGAUACGCGAGGAACCUUUUCUGGGCUCAAAUGUAAGUUGACGUAUGGUGAAAGCCAUAUUUCUUCGGACAAUUUACAAGGUGCUGCAUGGUUGUCGUCAGCUCGUGCCGUGAGGUGUCGGGUUAAGUCCCAUAACGAGCGCAACCCCUAUCAUUAGUUGCCAUCAGGUCAAGCUGGGGACUCUAGUGAAACUGCCUACGCAAGUAGAGAGGAAGGUGGGGAUGACGUCAAAUCAGCACGGCCCUUACGUCCAGGGCUACACACGUGCUACAAUGGCCGGUACAGAGGGCAGCCACCCCGUGAGGGGGAGCGAAUCUCGAAAGCCGGUCUCAGUUCGGAUCGAAGUCUGCAACCCGACUUCGUGGAGCUGGAAUCGCUAGUAAUCGCGCAUCAGCCAUGGCGCGGUGAAUACGUUCCCGGGCCUUGUACACACCGCCCGUCAAGCCAUGGAAGCUGGGGGUACCUGAAGUCGGUAACCGUCAAGAGCCGC